AAAAUAUACAGUUUAGGAGUAGACUGAUCAGAUUUUUCUCCACGUUGGUUUUGGACUCCACCUGCUGAUCACAUAAUCAAAAAAAAGCCAAAGCUGAGCCUUGAUUGGUUGGCGAAACACAAAGACCGAAUCUGAAUUGCUUCCCUACACAGAAAAUUUCCAGAGUUGAAAAAUCUGGAGUUAGGCAAAAAAGUGUGAAAGAGUUGGAUUUCAGGAGUUUAUUUUUUAAAUGUGACUAUACUAAGUGUUAUAUUUACUCUUUAGAGUCGUCACAUUUUUUAGUUUAUUCAUGGGUGUACAGGAAUCUCCCGUUAACAAACUGUGGAGUUGAUGGCUGGGUGUGGUUGGGUGGGGCUGGAGUGAACUGCAGAGCUAUGUGUCGGGGCAUGUCCAGGUGUAGCAGAACUCCUCGCAGCACAAAUUAUAGCGCCAGAACUUCGAGGCAUUAUGAGCAGUGGAACUUUGUUGCAAGUUCAGCAGAAAUUUCUCGUACCAGAGACUACAGCACUAAAGGUCACAGAUGACCAGGGUGUCGAGGUUGAAGAUGUUUUUCCAGAAGUUGCUACAUAAAGAAACUUGAGCCUUCAUCUGAAGAAUCAUCUCAGACCUUUGGCUGUUCAGACAGAGAAUGUGACUCUUACACCAUGCGAUUUGACUGAGCCACAAGAAGAAUAUGACAGACCAAGCUCCCCAAGUCUCAAGGAUACGUUGUCAUUCUGUGUGCAAUUUUACCGUCCUGAAUGUGAUAAAAUGCACUGUUUACUGUUGUUUUUUUUGUAUGUGAUGCACUGGCUAUUUCUUUAUGCAAAAUUUGUAUUGCAGUUUUGCCAAUGUUUUUUUUUUUGUAAAUUUGGUACAUGGUAUCACAACAAUGUUUUAUGUAUGGUGUGUCUGAAAA